UAGUGGGAAUAAAGUACAGUGCACAAACAUGAAAUAAAGGUCUUUAAUAAUGCGUGGGAUUCUUUAAUUAAGACAGCCAAUUUCCUUUCAAACAAGUGGAGAACUUAAUAUGAGCAUACUGAUCCUGUAAAGAGAAAUGAUGGGGUGCCUAUUAAAUGGAGUAGGCCUUUGCUUGAUGAUUAUAGUUAUGUCGAUUAUUAUCUCCAGAUCAACAACGUCGAGUAUGUCAAUUUCAGGGCAUCCAAGCGUUUCUGCCGAGAACAACACGAACCAGCGGCUAUAUAAUAAUGGGACCAACAGUGUAGGAGAAGAAGAAGAAGAUCAUGAGUACUUGAAUGCAGAUCAUCGUGAAAAGGGUAAACAUGUUGUUCGAGGGUUCAUGGAUCAACGAGUCAUAUCGCAUGGAGCUCUUCAGGGAGUGAUUUAAUUAUUAGCCGGGUGGCCUUUCGUGAUAACUCCUCUAAGUAUUAUAUCAAUGACCGUCAAAGUAAUUUUACUGAAGUUACCAAGAAGCUGAAAGUGAAAGGAGUUAACCUUGACAACAACCAUUUUUGAUUCUCCAGAUUUGGUAGUUCUUAUGCAGUGUUUUUAGUUUGAAUAAGAAGCUCGUUUCUAUGUGCUCUGGACUUUUCUUGUUGAGUAUUGCCAGGGUGAAGUCGAGCAGAUUUCACUUAUGAAGCCAAAAUCUCAAGGACCUCAUGAUGAAGGUUUUCUUGAAUAUCUUGAGGACAUAAUUGGGACUAACAAGUAUGUUGAAAAAAAUUGACGAAUCAUACAAGCAGCGAGUACAUUGUCUACUUCUCAACUCAGUUGAACGUUUGCUUUCUUAUUCCUGCUCUAUACAUUGGCUUCCUAUUUUCCUAAAUGUAAUAACAGAUUACCUGUAUUAGUGCUAACUACAAGUACAAACUCUUGUUAUUUAUUUAAAAUUUGUAAGUUACUUGAAAAUUGAAAGCCAGUAACGGAAGUACCAUUUGCAACUGUAUGGCUUAUAGGGUACCCUUUCUGUGGUAUCUAAAACAUAUUAAUUCAAAGAGCCAACUCUGUGAUCUCCCCAUACCCAGUGUUCUUCAUGAGUUUGAGGUGUAUCCUCUGAUCUGAUGGUGCUGUACUGCUGUCCUUAUCAAACUGGAUUUAUUGGUUUUUCUUAUUUAUUUAGUAUGUUAAGAUAAAUUUUCCUUUCCCAUCACUUACCAAAUAUUUCCUAUCCUAUACAGAUUUUAUACAUUCUGUGCAGCUUCAAAUAUGUCUCACCUUUUCUGCUCCAUUUUGGUUCAAGUGAGUUUAACAUUCCUGGUUGCACUUUGUAUGUUUCUGAUACUUGUUAAUAAUCCAUUGGUCUCAUAGGCUAGAAUCGCUAGAUGAGAGCAGGUCUGGGGUGGUGCAAAUGGUUAAGUUGGCAGAGAAAGAAAGAGGUCUGGCUUAGAGGUAAGUAGACAGUAUUGAACAUCAACCAUCUUAUGUUUGACUCAUCAAUUAGAGGUUUAAGCAUAUUCUUCAACCUAUAGCUGAUGUUUGCAUUACAAAGGAACAACAAGGACUUGUAGAUUUUGAAUCCUUCUUCAGUGACACAAUUUGCCAUGAGUGUUGCCAUGGGAUUGGGCCACAUACCAUACCAUGCAACUUGAAAUGGGUUUGUGUACUUGUUGGGCCUCUUGACGUACUAGCUUCAGCUUUUAGGUUGGAUGCUCUUAACUUUAUAUCAGUGUUUGGUUUGUUUGUUCUUGAACUCCAGGUGUUGCCUUUAUUUUGGAUUUUGUUGGUUAUUGGGCCUGUUUGCCUUAAUUUUGGUGUUGUUUGGGCAUAGAUAGAUGUGAGAGGAUGCGUUAAGUAACUCAUAUUAGUUGUGUUUAGGACUUGGGAUCUGUUUAUGUACUUGUUGGGCCAAUUCACCUAUUAUGAGUUUUUAAAAGCUUACAAAAGUUUGAAUUUGUGAGUUCGGUUGUAAUGUCAUUUCCAAAGCUCUAUUUUGAUGGUGGAAGCUUAAGAUUGAUGUUCUUACCUAUAUCUCUGUGGUGAGACUAGGAUUGGCUUCCCAAGAGUUUGUUAAAGUCCAUGUACGUUUGCUGGAUAGUAUAUAUAGCUAUUUUUUU